UAGAGGGAAGGAGGGUUUGGGGCCAUUAGGGACAGUCUAGAGGGAAUGAGGGAAGGAAUAGGGGGCCAUUAGGGACAGUCUAGAGGGAAGGAGGGUUUGGGGCCAUUAGGGACAGUCUAGAGGGAAUGAGGGGAGCAGACAGACAGACAGACAGACAGACAGACAGACAGACAGACAGACAGACAGACAGACAGACAGACAGACAGACAGACAGACAGACAGACAGACAGACA